rnacentral:ribozyme from 1 species
UACUUUUUUUUUUUUUUUUUUUUUUUUUUUUUUUUUUUUUUUUUUUUUUUUUCCGCGCUCGCUGCA